GACGAACGCUGGCGGCGUGCUUAACACAUGCAAGUCGAACGAAGUGGUGAACGGGUGAGUAACGCGUAAUCAACCUGCCCUUCAGAGGGGGACAACAGUUGGAAACGACUGCUAAUACCGCAUACUGAAGGCGGGGAUUGCGUCUGAUUAGCUAGUUGGAGGGGUAACGGCCCACCAAGGCGAUGAUAAGUAGCCGGUCUGAGAGGAUGAACGGGCACAUUGGGACUGAGACACGGCCCAGACUCCUACGGGAGGCAGCAGUGGGGAAUCUGCCGCAAUGGACGAAAGUCUGACGGAGCAACGCCGCGGGAGGGAUGACGGCCUUCGGGUUGUAAAGCUCUGUUAAGCGGGACGCGGUACUUAACCAGAAAGGGACGGCUAACUACGUGCCAGCAGCCGCGGUAAUAC
rnacentral:rRNA from 1 species